GACGAACGCUGGCGGCGUGCUUAACACAUGCAAGUCGAACGGAAAGGCCCUGCUUUUGUGGGGUGCUCCAGUGGCGAACGGGUGAGUAACACGUGAGUAACCUGCCCUUGACUUUGGGAUAACUUCAGGAAACUGGGGCUAAUACCGGAUAGGAGCUCCUGCUGCAUGGUGGGGGUUGGAAAGUUUCGGCGGUUGGGGAUGGACUCGCGGCUUAUCAGCUUGUUGGUGGGGUAGUGGCCUACCAAGGCUUUGACGGGUAGCCGGCCUGAGAGGGUGACCGGCCACAUUGGGACUGAGAUACGGCCCAGACUCCUACGGGAGGCAGCAGUGGGGAAUAUUGCACAAUGGGCGGAAGCCUGAUGCAGCAACGCCGCGUGCGGGAUGACGGCCUUCGGGUUGUAAACCGCUUUCGCCUGUGACGAAGCGUGAGUGACGGUAAUGGGUAAAGAAGCACCGGCUAACUACGUGCCAGCAGCCGCGGUGAUACGUAGGGUGCGAGCGUUGUCCGGAUUUAUUGGGCGUAAAGGGCUCGUAGGUGGUUGAUCGCGUCGGAAGUGUAAUCUUGGGGCUUAACCCUGAGCGUGCUUUCGAUACGGGUUGACUUGAGGAAGGUAGGGGAGAAUGGAAUUCCUGGUGGAGCGGUGGAAUGCGCAGAUAUCAGGAGGAACACCAGUGGCGAAGGCGGUUCUCUGGGCCUUUCCUGACGCUGAGGAGCGAAAGCGUGGGGAGCGAACAGGCUUAGAUACCCUGGUAGUCCACGCUGUAAACGGUGGGUACUAGGUGUGGGGUCCAUUCCACGGGUUCCGUGCCGUAGCUAACGCUUUAAGUACCCCGCCUGGGGAGUACGGCCGCAAGGCUAAAACUCAAAGGAAUUGACGGGGCCCCGCACAAGCGGCGGAGCAUGCGGAUUAAUUCGAUGCAACGCGUAGAACCUUACCUGGGUUUGACAUGGAUCGGGAGCGCUCAGAGAUGGGUGUGCCUCUUUUGGGGUCGGUUCACAGGUGGUGCAUGGCUGUCGUCAGCUCGUGUCGUGAGAUGUUGGGUUAAGUCCCGCAACGAGCGCAACCCUUGUUCACUGUUGCCAGCACGUUAUGGUGGGGACUCAGUGGAGACCGCCGGGGUCAACUCGGAGGAAGGUGGGGAUGACGUCAAGUCAUCAUGCCCCUUAUGUCCAGGGCUUCACGCAUGCUACAAUGGCUGGUACAGAGAGUGGCGAGCCUGUGAGGGUGAGCGAAUCUCGGAAAGCCGGUCUCAGUUCGGAUUGGGGUCUGCAACUCGACCUCAUGAAGUCGGAGUCGCUAGUAAUCGCAGAUCAGCAACGCUGCGGUGAAUACGUUCCCGGG
rnacentral:rRNA from 1 species